rnacentral:rRNA from 1 species
UGGGGAAUCUUGGACAAUGGGGGCAACCCUGAUCCAGCGAUGCCGCGUGAGUGAAGAAGGCCUUCGGGUUGUAAAGCUCUUUUGGUUGGGAAGAAACAAAUGACGGUACCAACAGAAUAAGCACCGGCUAACUCUGUGCCAGCAGCCGCGGUAAUACAGAGGGUGCAAGCGUUAAUCGGAUUUACUGGGCGUAAAGAGCACGUAGGUGGUUGCAUAAGUCUGUUAUAAAAUCCCCGGGCUCAACCUGGGAACUGUAAUAGAAACUAUGCGGCUAGAGUAUGGGAGAGGAGAGUAGAAUUCCUGGUGUAGCGGUGAAAUGCGUAGAUAUCAGGAAGAAUGACAGUGGCGAAGGCGACUCUCUGGUCCAAUACUGACACUGAGGUGCGAAAGCGUGGGGAGCAAAAGGG